rnacentral:lncRNA from 1 species
AGUACAAUGGGGUUAAAUCACUUAUUAAGUUCACAUUACAAGUAAGUGGCAAAGUCAAGAAGAGCUCCUAGAUCUGAAGCCAAGGCUCCUGCCUUCUGGAAGAAGUUCCAGAGUAUAUUGUCUCAUACUACUUUGUAUCUAAUUGAUGCUUGCUAGUAGUAUUUUAUUUUUAACUAGUAGUAAAUAUUUGAGAGGUCUAGGUUGCUAAGAAAAUAGUCUUCGUUUCAUGAAAUUGCUGGGUAAAGUAGAAGAAAGCAGUCAUCUUGAAUAGAGUUUUCUGUAAAAUAAACAAAAAGGUUUUGUUCUUGGUUUUAAAAAAAAAAAAAAUCUAUUUCUUUCCAUGUCUGGGAGGUGACCUUUCUGAUGUUACACCGUGGGUAGAAUUCAUUCUGUAGGAUGUGAGUGGGAUUUGGGAAGUGUGAUGGGAAUGACUGAUGAAUCCGUACCCCCUUCCUAACUGGCUUGUCAUGCUAAAAACAGUGCCGUUCUGGUCUCACAGAUGAAUGGAGAAAACAUAAACGAUGGAUAUAGGAAAAUAUCACUUCGGAUUAGGUUUAGCUGUGAGUGACCAAAAAAAAAAAAAAAAAAAAAAAAAGUCUCAAAUGCCAGUGCUUCAAAACAAGAUAGAAUCUUAUUUCUCAUGCAUGUAAAAGAAGUAUGGAGCUCAGGAAUUUAAGGCAAUUUCAAGAUGACUGAAGAUUUUUUCCUGUUUUGCUGCUUCAUCAUCCUCAAUAUAUGCCUCUCUUCCUCAUGGUCCAGGCUGGCUGCUUGAAUACCUUCUAUCACAUGGUAAUCCAGCUGGUAGGAAGGAAGAAGGGCACACCUCCCUUCCUUUAAGGACACCUUCCAGAAGUCACACACGACACCUUUGUCUAGAUCCAGUUAGCCAGAAUGUACUCAUGUCAUGUACAUGUGGUUGUGACCACACACACCUGGUUGCAAGGGAGGCUAGAAAAUGUGGUCUCAUCCUGGAGGGUGGAGGUGAGGACAUUUCCUAUCAAUGAGGAAGAGGAAGAGAACAGAUACUGGGAGACUAGUAAAGUCCACCACAGAAAGAAUGGAAAGAUGAUCAUGGAAAAAGAUUGUCUCUGGUCCUCUGUUUGAGGAUACCUUAUGCAUGCUUUGCCUCGGAUGGGAAUCCUGGAACAAAUGCUCAGAUGUGAGUCCUCACCUUUUACUGAGUAUGAAUGAUACUUUGAAUGAAUGAUAGAAAUCUUUAGGAGCCCAUUAUCUUAAAAAAAAAAAAAAGCAAAGAUGACCACUUUAUCACUUUUAGUAGCUCCUUUGCACAUUGCUUCACUACAAAUGGGACCCACCUAAGGAAUUGCAUCAUUAAUGAAUCACUAGCUCAAAACCUUCAUUUACUUUCAGAAGCUUGCAACUCCUAUUUGAAGGUCUGAGCUCCCUGACAUAGAUACAGACUGCUCGAGGGACAUGGAUUCUGAGGUUCUUGUGACCUGUUCUCAUCAGCACAUCUUGUCAUGGGCGGGAAAUAAAUAUAUUUAGAAGGAUGGGAAGAAUGUUUAGGGAGCUGGCUGCUUUUCAGCUGUCUCCUUGUCAUAGGGCUCUUUCCUCUCAAGGUAUAUUGAAAUAAUAAUCCUAGCAACUAUUUUUUGAGAGCUCAUUAAGUAUAUGUUAAACUUAAAAAAAAAAGUAUAUGUUAAACUUAAACUUCAGAACAGCUCCGAAAGUUAGACUUUAUUCAUUCUCAUUGUAUAGACGUAAAAGCUCAGUCAGAUAACUAGUAAGGGGAGUUGCUGGAAUUUGAACUUGGGUCUGAUGGACUCCAGAAUCCAUACCGUUUAUCACUAUAGCCCCUCAUCUUUAAAAAAUACAAGAAGUACAAGGACCCAUUCAAUGUAUCUUUUUGCAUAAGUGGCCUAGGGAAAGUGGAGAGAUUUUUCCUGGUCCUUGGACUUGUAUGGCGACUCCCAGAACCCUCUCCUUGGUUCUUUACUGAACCAGUGAACUCUAGAAAGUGUCACUGCGGUAGAGCCGGAGGAGCAGACUGCUUAGAGCUCUCCAGGGGAGAGAGGUCAGGAGCAAAGAGCUGGGCUGGAGCCCUAUUCUUUCCCCAGCUUAUUGCUUUCCAGAGGUCUUGCUCUUACCACUCUGCUGGGGUUUUUUGUUUGUUUUUGUUUGGUGUUUGUUUUGUUUUGUUUUGUUUUUGCAGUCGCCUUCAUCUCAUAGCUGUCCCUAGUUACCAGAUGACUAUGUCUCUGAGGCUUUGGGUUUCUUCAACCUCAUGGGAGGUGGCGGGUGAGGAGGGGGAGAGAGGGAGGUGGGGUAGGAGUAGAGGGAAAGGAGGUGGUUACAGAAAGAAGGAAAACUACUUUCCCUGUCGUUCCCGGCAAAUUUCUUCUCAGCCUUUAUUGGCCCAAAUGGGGUCACAUGUUUGUCCCUGAUCCAAUACAUGAAGCUGGGAGAUGGGAUCAUGCAAAUUAAUUUUGAACCACAAAUCCCACUCCCAGAUUAACUUCCCUUAAGUACCUGGUCUUUGCAUGAGAAGCUGAGGCUACCAAAUAAAAGUAAAGAUUACAUUUUAUAAAAGACUAGGACUAGGGUUUGGGAAAGUUUCAUCUAUUGGACUCCCCCUCAUGUGAGAGAAUCAGCCCCUACCCGUUUCUAGCAGCACCCCAAAACCCUAGGUAUUAGGGCUCCUCCCUUGACUCAGGACUUUUGGAAGGCUGCUGACCCCUAGUGUUUAAAGUAGAGCAUUGGACAGAGAAUCCAGAGAUCUGGGUUAACCUUUGAAAUGAGAAUCACAAAAGCUGUGCCAUCCCCCCACACAAUGAGAGUGUGAGCAAAAUGAAACUUCUAGAAGUACUUUAAUGAGCACAAAGCCCCCAGCCACUGACACAUCAGUGUUUAGUGACUACUUGUGUGAGUAAAUGAAGAACCCAGAUGCUACUCAGCUCUCCUGUCCCCCUUCCUAGCCACUGCUUUCACUAGUAAAUAUAUCAGCCUACUUGUGUUCACAAAACAACUACCAAACAACCAAUUGUAUCUGGAAUAUGUGCAUAUAAAUAUGAAUGUAUGCUAACAACCCCAAAUUCACAUGUUUCGUGAUGUGGAAUGCCACUACAUGCUAGGAUAGCAGAGAAGACAUUCGUUGUGCAGGGCUUUUUAUUUUAAGCAAAUCAACAAGCAUUGCUAUUAUGAGCUCUAUUUUGAGCUGUGGGUGAAGCUGUGUUAGAUGGGGCUUUCCCUUGGUCUUGUGCUUUUGAGGUAACAGGAUAUUUCCUAUGUUCCAUGUUUUGGGGGUAGGUGUGGAGGGGAAAAGCGGGAGAAUGUUAAUUAUAAGAUGAAUCUCAAGAAAAUAGAAUGUUAUUAUUGUCUUAAUUUUGUUUUGCUUUCAAUUGAUUUCCAAUUCAAGUGCAAUGUGGCAGCUCUCAGGGUAAGAGAAAUUUGGCACAAACCUAUGAGUAGAAAUGAACUGCCAUUGACUGGAGAGGGCACCGAAGGCCAGAGAGGAUUUCUCAAUCUGAGGUCUGGGGGAGAGUUCUGGGAAAUGGUGGCAGCCACAGCUGUAGAAGUUCCAACAGCUGUUUGGUUUUGGCAGGCCAGGCUGCUGCUCACUGAAGAGAGCUGUGCUCGCCUGACAUGCAGCCUGGAAGAUCCCUUCCAGGAGAGGAGUCACACUCUUUGCAUAGGGAGAAGGAAAAUGGGCGGGUCAGUGCCAUAGUGGUCAGAUGGAUCAUGGAUGGAAAAAAAAAUCAAACUAUAUCCUUAUGUCCUGAAGUACUAUACAAGUUUUGCUAGCCUCCUCUUGUCUCUUGAGUAAAGGAAAUGAUACGUAUUGUCAAGACUAUCAUUAUUGAUACAAUUUUGUUGAGAAUGAAGAUAGGUAAUAAAUAUUCUAGCUUCCAGUUGAUAAAUUGCAUGAUUCUACUUUGGAUUCAUUCUUCUAAGAUACAUAGUGUUCCUACAGAAAUAUGGAUUCUAUUCAGUCAGUGUUUUACUGAGACUUAGAGAGCUACUUACAUUACAAACCAAUCUCAGCCAGUUUAAACAGUCCUAUUUUAAGCUGAAUUUGUGCAUCAGGGGAAAAGUGGUGGAAGGGGUUCCAUAUUGGCUGCAUGGGACUGAUGUAUGAAUAAUGGGCAAGUAAUUGAUGACCUGGGGUUCAUGCCAGCAGAACCCCCCUGCACAUCUGUUUUCACAAGCACUUGACACAGGCUCUGCAUUUUUAAAAUGCGCCAGGUGCAUAGAUUUGGUUGGUGUGUCUUUCUAAGUGCUCUGUGACUCUAUAAAAGGAGAAUUAACAAUGAAGAAGGUUACAACACUGUGUAGAGAAAUAAAACUAUUUUUAGAAUGUUUCUCCACAGGUUAACUUUUAGCUUCAGUGUGUUUUCUUUGGUUUGGUUUGGUUUGGUUUGGUUUUUGCUGCCUCUCCCCCCAUACCACCACAUUUGUGUGUGUGUGUGUGUGUGUGUGUGUGUUGACUAGAUAAUAACUAAUUAGCAAUGCCCUUGAGAAAAAGUCUCAGCCUGAGAAAUGUGGAGAAACCAUGGCUGGAGAACUCUGACACAGCUGUUCAAUUUUGGCAAGAAAAAAAAAAAAAAAAA